rnacentral:rRNA from 1 species
GAUUAAGUGUCGUAAGGGCAUUUGGUGGAUGCCUUGGCAUGCACAGGCGAUGAAGGACGUGAUACGCUGCGAAAAGCCGUGGGGAGCUGCGAAUGAGCUUUGAUCCAUGGAUCUCCGAAUGGGGCAACCCACCUUAAAUACCUAGAAAAUCAUUCUGGUUGUCGGGUCUUCGAUCCGACAUUACGGCGAACGAUCGCCGACGGCCUCUGGCCUGUAUGGGAGUUUCCCAAUACAGCGCGGAGCGCGUCGCCGGUCGUCCGGCGCGCUAACGCAGCGCUGCACGAAGUGCAGAACGAGCGUGAGUGAAAACCCGAAUGGUUUCUAGGUAUUGUGAUAAGGUAUCUACACCUGAAUACAUAGGGUGUAAGAAGCGAACGCAGGGAACUGAAACAUCUAAGUACCUGCAGGAAAGGACAUCAACCGAGACUCCGCAAGUAGUGGCGAGCGAACGCGGACCAGAGCCAGUGGCAAUUGUGAUUAAAGUGGAACGCUCUGGAAAGUGCGGCCGUAGUGGGUGACAGCCCCGUACGCGUAGAUAUCAUGAUUGUCCUAGAGUAGGGCGGGACACGAGAAAUCCUGUCUGAACAUGGGGAGACCACUCUCCAAGCCUAAGUACUCGUGCAUGACCGAUAGCGAACAAGUACCGUGAGGGAAAGGUGAAAAGCACCCCGACAAGGGGAGUGAAAUAGAACCUGAAACCGGAUGCCUACAAACAGUCGGAGCCCGCAAGGGUGACGGCGUACCUUUUGUAUAAUGGGUCAACGACUUAGUGUAACAAGCAAGCUUAAGCCGGUAGGUGUAGGCGAAGCGAAAGCGAGUCUGAAUAGGGCGAUAUAGUUUGUUGCAUUAGACCCGAAACCGAGUGAUCUAGCCAUGAGCAGGUUGAAGGUUGGGUAACACCAACUGGAGGACCGAACCCGCAUCUGUUGCAAUAGAUUGGGAUGACUUGUGGCUAGGGGUGAAAGGCCAAUCAAACUCGGAAAUAGCUGGUUCUCCGCGAAAUCUAUUUAGGUAGAGCGUCGAGCGAAUACCCCCGGGGGUAGAGCACUGGAUGGGCUAUGGGGACUCACCGUCUUACUGAUCCUAACCAAACUCCGAAUACCGGGGAGUACUACUCGGCAGACACACGGCGGGUGCUAACGUCCGUCGUGAAAAGGGCAACAACCCUAACCUCCAGCUAAGGUCCCCAAGUCAUGGCUAAGUGGGAAAGGAUGUGAGGAUCCCAAAACAACCAGGAUGUUGGCUUAGAAGCAGCCAUCAUUUAAAGAAAGCGUAACAGCUCACUGGUCUAAAUAAGGGUCUUUGCGCCGAAAAUGUAACGGGGCUGAAGCCAUGCACCGAAGCUGAGGAUGUGUAGCAAUACACGUGGUAGCGGAGCGUUCCGUAAGCUGAUGAAGGGAGACCCGUGAGGGCUCCUCGGAGGUAUCGGAAGUGCGAAUGUUGACAUGAGUAACGAUAAAGAGGGUGAGAGACCCUCUCGCCGAAAGACCAAGGGUUCCUGCUUAAAGUUAAUCUGAGCAGGGUUAGCCGGCCCCUAAGGCGAGGCAGAAAUGCGUAGUCGAUGGGAACCACGUUAAUAUUCGUGGGCCAGGUGGUAGUGACGGAUUGCACAAGUUGUUCAUUCUUAUUGGAUUGGAUGGGCAGCGGAGCGGUUCCGCGAAAUAGCUCCACCGUAUAGACCGUACCCGAAACCGACACAGGUGGUCAGGUAGAGUAUACCAAGGCGCUUGAGAGAACUAUGUUGAAGGAACUCGGCAAAUUGCACGCGUAACUUCGGAAGAAGCGUGACCCCAUGCUAGGCAACUAUUAUGGGGGUGGCACAGACCAGGGGGUAGCGACUGUUUAUCAAAAACACAGGGCUCUGCGAAGUCGCAAGACGACGUAUAGGGUCUGACGCCUGCCCGGUGCUGGAAGGUUAAGAGGAGAGGUGCAAGCUUUGAAUCGAAGCCCCAGUAAACGGCGGCCGUAACUAUAACGGUCCUAAGGUAGCGAAAUUCCUUGUCGGGUAAGUUCCGACCUGCACGAAUGGCGUAACGACUUCCCCGCUGUCUCCAACAUAGACUCAGUGAAAUUGAAUUCCCCGUGAAGAUGCGGGGUUCCUGCGGUCAGACGGAAAGACCCCGUGCACCUUUACUAUAGCUUUACACUGGCAUUCGUGUCGGCAUGUGUAGGAUAGGUGGUAGGCUUUGAAGCGGGGACGCCAGUUUCCGUGGAGCCAUCCUUGAAAUACCACCCUUAUCGUCAUGGAUGUCUAACCGCGGCCCGUUAUCCGGGUCCGGGACAGUGUAUGGUGGGUAGUUUGACUGGGGCGGUCGCCUCCGAAAGAGUAACGGAGGCGCGCGAUGGUGGGCUCAGACCGGUCGGAAAUCGGUCGUCGAGUGCAAUGGCAUAAGCCCGCCUGACUGCGAGACUGACAAGUCGAGCAGAGACGAAAGUCGGUCAUAGUGAUCCGGUGGUCCCGCGUGGAAGGGCCAUCGCUCAACGGAUAAAAGGUACGCCGGGGAUAACAGGCUGAUGACCCCCCAAGAGUCCAUAUCGACGGGGUUGUUUGGCACCUCGAUGUCGGCUCAUCGCAUCCUGGGGCUGGAGCAGGUCCCAAGGGUUUGGCUGUUCGCCAAUUAAAGCGGUACGUGAGCUGGGUUCAGAACGUCGUGAGACAGUUCGGUCCCUAUCUGCCGUGGGUGUAGGAAUAUUGACAGGAUCUGUCCCUAGUACGAGAGGACCGGGAUGGACAUAUCUCUGGUGGACCUGUUGUCCUGCCAAGGGCAUAGCAGGGUAGCUAUAUAUGGACGGGAUAACCGCUGAAGGCAUCUAAGCGGGAAACCCACCUGAAAACGAGUAUUCCCUAUCAGAGCCGUGGAAGACGACCACGUUGAUAGGCCGGGUGUGGAAGUGCGGCAACGCAUGAAGCUUACCGGUACUAAUAGCUCGAUUGGCUUGAUCGUUCUCAUU